AUCAAUCGGAGGCGGGACACGAGCUGACCAAUCACAGCCCGCCUUGGGGGAGGUGGAGCGUGAUGGGCAGUGCGCCCAACCAAUAGCGUGCGUCCCCCCGCGCGCGCCGCCCAAUGAGCAUCGACCCGCUAUUUUGGAGGGAAACGGCGGCCAAUCAGAGCCCGUGCCGCAGGGGCGGGGACGAGGCUGCGGCGCUCUGGCCAAUGGCGUGCGAGGAGGUUUCCCCAGGCCCGCCCCCGCGCUCCCAGUCCAGCCCAGUUCUCCCAGUUCCCUCUCUCAGAGCUCAAUAAAUAAAACUUUAUUGACGGGGAAGGGGCGGGGCCUCCUCGGCUCCUCCCCCUUCCCCAGGCCUCGGGCCGGGAGGAAUUCACAGUAUUUUGGUUAAAAAAACAACCCCAAAGUUGCCCCAGGGGUUACCUGAGGCACCUGGGCAGCCCUGAGCGAGCACGGACAGCUGGUGCAGGUGUGCACAGGUGUGUCCAGGUGUGUCCAGGUGUGCACAGCCAUGGCCAGGUGUGUCCAGCUGUGUCUGCAGUCAUGGCCAGGUGUGCCCAGGUGUGUCCAGGUGUGCACAGCCAUGGCCAGGUGUGCACAGCUGUGUCCAGGUGUGUCUGCAGCCAUGGCCAGGUGUGCACAGCUGUGUCCAGGUGUGUCCAGAUGUGUCCAGGUGUGUCUGCAGUCAUGGCCAGGUGUGCCCAGGUGUGUCCAGCCAUGGCCAGGUGUGUCCAGCUGUGCCCAGGUGCACACAGCUGCUCCCAGCCGUGCCCAGGUGUAUCCAGCUGUGUCCAGCUGUCUGUCCAGCUGUGUCCAGGUGUAUCCAGCUGUGUCCAGCUGUUCCCAGCCAUGCCCAGGUGUCUGUCCAGCUGUGUCCAGGUGUCUGUCCAGCUGUGUCCAGCUGUCUGUCCAGCCAUGUCCAGGUGUAUCCAGCUGUGUCCAGCUGUUCCCAGCCGUGCCCGCCCCCAGCCCCGCUCUCAGUCCCGCGGCUCCCGGGGGCGGCUCCCCCACCCCGGGGGGCUCUGGGGGGG